UGACUGCAAGACGACGUGAAUGGGCUUGGGCCUGCUCUUUGAGCGGGUCAGGACCCAGGAAAGUCCCCGGGUCGUUUCUGCAGAGAUGCAGGCUCGGAAACGGGUUAGCUUCACGGGCUUAGGAGUUCAAUCUUACACUUGUGAGAUGGGCAGAGACGAGGUGGAGCCUUAUGGACUCCUACCGGAAGCGUUAUUGGCCGAUGAUUACAGUUAUUCACGUGGUUCAGUCUAUAAACUGGACUAACUGAACGGGGCUUAUGUUCUUGCAGUC
rnacentral:RNase_MRP_RNA from 2 species